CUACGGGGUGCUGCAGUGGGGAAUAUUGCACAAUGGGCGCAAGCCUGAUGCAGCCACGCCGCGUGUAUGAAGAAGGCCUUCGGGUUGUAAAGUACUUUCAGCGGGGAGGAAGGGAGUAAAGUUAAUACCUUUGCUCAUUGACGUUACCCGCAGAAGAAGCACCGGCUAAGUCCGUGCCAGCAGCCGCGGUAAUACGGAGGGUGCAAGCGUUAAUCGGAAUUACUGGGCGUAAAGCGCACGCAGGCGGUUUGUUAAGUCAGAUGUGAAAUCCCCGGGCGCAACCUGGGAACUGCAUCUGAUACUGGCAAGCUUGAGUCUCGUAGAGGGGGGUAGAAUUCCAGGUGUAGCGGUGAAAUGCGUAGAGAUCUGGAGGAAUACCGGUGGCGAAGGCGGCCCCCUGGACGAAGACUGACGCUCAGGUGCGAAAGCGUGGGGAGCAAACAGGAUUAGAUACCCGUGUAGUC
rnacentral:rRNA from 1 species